AUGCGCUUUCGCCAUGGAUGGCAUGAAGUUCACUACGAGGAAUCGGAUGCAGGAUUCGUUCCUCGUUUGGAAGUUGGGGUUGUCUUGAGAGAUGGAGUUGGCGACGCGCGCUCGAUGGAUGAUGGGACCAGCGGAACUGCUGGUGUCCAAGAUGGCGUGAUUUCCUCUGAGCCAGUGCGCAGGGAUGGGCACCCCCUGGAAGACGAAUCGGCUGAGCAGACGGAAGAAACAUUUGUCACCGAGAGGAAUUGCAGCUCGUACAAUGGUCGUGGCGAAGGGGUGGGCGAUUCAUGCGAGCUAGGUGCUGCAAAUUUUAGCGGUGAUACGGCAGCAUAG
rnacentral:rRNA from 1 species